UACAGAGGGUGCGAGCGUUGUCCGGAAUCACUGGGCGUAAAGGGCGCGUAGGCGGUUUGAUAAGUAGGGGGUGAAAUCCUAGGGCUUAACCUCAGGGCUGCCUUCUAAACUGUCAGACUAGAGCACAGUAGAGGCAGGUGGAAUUCCCGGUGUAGCGGUGGAAUGCGUAGAGAUCGGGAAGAACAUCGGUGGCGAAGGCGGCCUGCUGGGCUGUUGCUGACGCUGAGGCGCGACAGCGUGGGGAGCAAACAGG
rnacentral:rRNA from 1 species